CCUACGGGAGGCAGCAGUGGGGAAUAUUGCGCAAUGGGCGAAAGCCUGACGCAGCGACGCCGCGUGAGGGAUGAAGGUCUUCGGAUCGUAAACCUCUGUCAGCAGGGAAGAACGGUCACUGUGCUAAUCAGCAGUGAAUUGACGGUACCUGCAAAGGAAGCACCGGCUAACUCCGUGCCAGCAGCCGCGGUAAUACGGAGGGUGCGAGCGUUAAUCGGAAUUACUGGGCGUAAAGCGCUCGUAGGCGGUAUGUCAAGUCAAGGGUGAAAUCCCCGCGCUCAACGUGGGAACUGCCUUUGAAACUGGCAAACUGGAGUGUGUGAGAGGAUAGUGGAAUUCCAGGUGUAGGAGUGAAAGCCGUAGAUAUCUGGAGGAACAUCAGGGGCGAAGGCGACUAUCUGGCACAUAAGUGACGCUGAGGAGCGAAAGCGUGGGUAGCAAACAGGAUUAGAUACCCUAGUAGUC
rnacentral:rRNA from 1 species